UCGCGGUUUGCACCGGCAGUCUGGCUAGAGUUCCCGACACUACUCGCUGGCAACUAACCACAGGGGUUGCGCUCGUUAUAGGACUUAACCUGACACCUCACGGCACGAGCUGACGACAACCAUGCAGCACCUUGUAAUCUGUCCGAAGAAAUACACCUUUCGGCGUACGUCAGACUACAUUUAAGCCCUGGUAAGGUUCCUCGCGUAUCAUCGAAUUAAACCACAUGCUCCACCGCUUGUGCGGGCCCCCGUCAAUUCCUUUGAGUUUCAUUCUUGCGAACGUACUCCCCAGGUGGGUUACUUAUCACUUUCGCUUAACCACCCAGCCCUCAAUUAGGCCGGACAGCUAGUAACCAUCGUUUACGGCGUAGACUAC
rnacentral:misc_RNA from 1 species